AAAUUGAAGAGUUUGAUCAUGGCUCAGAUUGAACGCUGGCGGCAGGCCUAACACAUGCAAGUCGAGCGGUAGCACAGAGAGCUUGCUCUCGGGUGACGAGCGGCGGACGGGUGAGUAAUGUCUGGGAAACUGCCUGAUGGAGGGGGAUAACUACUGGAAACGGUAGCUAAUACCGCAUAACGUCGCAAGACCAAAGUGGGGGACCUUCGGGCCUCAUGCCAUCAGAUGUGCCCAGAUGGGAUUAGCUGGUAGGUGGGGUAACGGCUCACCUAGGCGACGAUCCCUAGCUGGUCUGAGAGGAUGACCAGCCACACUGGAACUGAGACACGGUCCAGACUCCUACGGGAGGCAGCAGUGGGGAAUAUUGCACAAUGGGCGCAAGCCUGAUGCAGCCAUGCCGCGUGUGUGAAGAAGGCCUUCGGGUUGUAAAGCACUUUCAGCGGGGAGGAAGGCG
rnacentral:rRNA from 2 species